AUGAACAAAACUAGUGGAGGUGACGGAAUUCCAGUUGAGCUGUUUCAAAUCCUGAAAGAUGAUGCUGUGAAAGUGCUGCACUCAUUAUGCCAGCAAAUUUGGAAAACUCAGCAGUGGCCACAGGACUGGACAAGGUCAGUUUUCAUUCCAAUUCCAAAGAAAGGCAAUGCCAAAGAAUGCUCAAACUACCCCACCAUUGCACUCAUCUCACAUGCUAGUAAAGUAAUGCCCAAAAUUCUCCAAGCCAGGCUUCAGCAAUACGUGAACCGUGAACUCCGUGAUGUUCAAGCUAGUUUUAGAAAAGGCAGAGGAACCAGAGAUCAAAUUGCCGACAUCCGCUGGAUCAUGCAAAAAGCAAGAGAGUUCCAGAAAAACAUGUAUUUCUGCUUUAUUGACUAUGCCAAAGCCUUUGACUGUGUGGAUCACAAGAAACUGUGGACAAUUCUGAAAGACAUGGGAAUACCAGACCACCUAACCUGCCUCUUGAGAAAUCUGUAUGCAGGUCAGGAAGCAACAGUUAGAACUGGACAUGGAACAACAGACUGGGUCCAAAUAGGAAAAGGAGUAUGUCAAGGCUGUAUAUUGUCACCCUGCUUAUUUAACGUAUAUGCAGAGUACAUCAUGAGAAACGCUGGACUGGAAGAAGCACAAGCUGGAAUCAAGAUUGCUGGGAGAAAUAUCAAUAAGCUCAGAUACGCAGAUGACACCACCCUUAUGGCAGAAAGUGAAGAGGAACUAAAGAGCCUCUUGAUGAAAGUGAAAGAAGAGAGAGAAAAAGUUGUCUUAAAGCUCAACAUUCAGAAAACGAAGAUCAUGGCAUCUGGUCCCAUCACUUCAUGGGAAAUAGAUGGGGAAACAGUGGAAACAGUGUCAGACUUUAUUUUUGGGGGCUCCAAAAUCACUGCAGAUGGUGACUGCAGCCAUGAAAUUAAAAGACGCUUACUCCUUGGAAGAAAAGUUAUGACCAACCUAGAUAGCAUAUUCAAAAGCAGAGACAUUACUUUGCCAACUAAGGUCCAUCUAGUCAAGGCUAUGGUUUUUCCUGUGGUCAUGUAUGGAUGUGAGAGUUGGACUGUGAAGAAGGCUGAGUGCCGAAGAAUUGAUGCUUUUGAACUGUGGUGUUGGAGAAGACUCUUGAGAGUCCCUUGGACUGCAAGGAGAUCCAACCAGUCCAUUCUGAAGGAGAUCAGCCCUGGGAUUUCUCUGGAAGGAAUGAUGCUAAAGCUGAAACUCCAGUACUUUGGCCACCUCAUGCGAAGAGUUGACUCCUUGGAAAAGACUCUGAUGCUGGGAGGGAUCGGGGGCAGGAGGAGAAGGGGACGACCGAGGAUGAGAUGA
rnacentral:lncRNA from 1 species